UGGGGAAUAUUGCACAAUGGGCGAAAGCCUGAUGCAGCAACGCCGCGUGAGGGAAGACGGUCUUCGGAUUGUAAACCUCUGUCUUUAGUGAAGAAGACAGUGACGGUAGCUAAAGAGUAAGCUACGGCUAACUACGUGCCAGCAGCCGCGGUAAUACGUAGGUGGCAAGCGUUAUCCGGAAUUACUGGGUGUAAAGGGAGCGCAGGCGGGACUGCAAGUUGGAUGUGAAAUACCGCAGCUUAACUGCGGAGCUGCAUCCAAAACUGUAGUUCUUGAGUGAAGUAGAGGUAGGCGGAAUUCCGAGUGUAGCGGUGAAAUGCGUAGAUAUUCGGAGGAACACCGGUGGCGAAGGCGGCCUACUGGGCUUUUACUGACGCUGAGGCUCGAAAGUGUGGGGAGCAAACAGG
rnacentral:rRNA from 1 species